rnacentral:rRNA from 1 species
GACGAACGCUGGCGGCGUGCUUAACACAUGCAAGUCGAACGGAAAAGCCCUGCUUUUGUGGGGUGCUCGAGUGGCGAACGGGUGAGUAACACGUGAGUAACCUGCCCUUGACUUUGGGAUAACUUCAGGAAACUGGGGCUAAUACCGGAUAGGAGCUCCUGCUGCAUGGUGGGGGUUGGAAAGUUCGGCGGGUGGGGAUGGGCUCGCGGCUUAUCAGCUUGUUGGUGGGGUAGUGGCUUACCAAGGCUUUGACGGGUAGCCGGCCUGAGAGGGUGACCGGCCACAUUGGGACUGAGAUACGGCCCAGACUCCUACGGGAGGCAGCAGUGGGGAAUAUUGCACAAUGGGCGGAAGCCUGAUGCAGCAACGCCGCGUGCGGGAUGACGGCCUUCGGGUUGUAAACCGCUUUCGCCUGUGACGAAGCGUGAGUGACGGUAAUGGGUAAAGAAGCACCGGCUAACUACGUG